GACUAACUCAUAAUGGUUUUUGCUCCAAAUGGUAAAAGGAAUUAAACCUCACCUUUAAAAAACUCCUUUUUUAGCUGCAUGAUCUCCAAGAAUUUGAUUGUGUUAGUCUGCCCCUCCCUCUACAGAUGAAUUCAGGCGCUCCUAAGCGCACAUUAAGUGUGCCGUAACAUAGAUCACCAGACUGAAUACAGACAAAACCUGCAGCACAAAAGAAGAUGCAGAGCAUAGCAUUAGAUGGAUGGUUUUAUUCAUUAAAAUGGAAAACUUCAAUAUUGAAAAAUGGAAAGGUGAAGAAUCUUGCAUUUAUCUUGGAUGCUGUAGAAUAAGUCAACUCUGGAAGAUAACUCUGUAAUCCGAUAUUAUAAACUGGGGUAGCAUCAGGGUAGAAGAGGCCAUAGUUCCUUUCUGAUGUCGGACCAGGCUUUAAGUCCUCGUUAAAAAGUGCGAAAACGUAUACAUCAAUUGGAACUGAUGGUUUUGCUGGUGUACCUUGCUUCUCCUGUAUUCUCUGCAAUAGAUUACCAUUAUAUAGGCCUGCAUUUUCAGAUGUAGCUCCUGCUUCAUCUGCAUCCCCCUUAGAUGGCCAGCCUGUCUCUGAAAUCCUUACUUCGAUAUCUGUAUGCCCCAUUGCUUUAAUCGCUGAAUACACAGCAUCAAUUUGAGCAUACAACAUGUUAUCAUAAUUCAAAUUCGUAUUCGGAUCUGUCAUCCCUUGAUUAGGCUGGAAAAGGACAUAAUCUACAGACACCUGACUCGGGUUAUUCUUGUAUGCAAAAUAAGGAUAUGCAUUAAUAAGGAAAGGCGAAUUUAUUUGAGAAUGAAAAUCCAAAAGGGGUUGGAUAUACUCAGCAAGAUCUUGCCUAAAAGUCCCGGAUGAAGGAGGGUAGGAGUUGGCUAAGAUGUUGAAGGAAUGCGCACUCGUGACCGUCACUUGCUUAUCUACUCCAAGAUUAACAAGAGCAUGAUAUACUGUUUGCAUUGCUGGGAGUAGAUAAGACAUUAACCGAGUAUCAUUGUUAUUGAAGACCUCGUUUCCUAAGGUAAUGCAAGUAAUUUUGGUUUGAGGGAGGUGAGGUUGAAGGUGCUGUUGAAUCCAAUUUCGAGCUUUGAUGGGGUCUGUCAUGUUUUGAAGGUACUCAUUCCCAAGUCCAAUAAUGAAAUCAACAUUUGAAUUGGAGAAGGCAAGUAGGACAUUUGGAUCAGCAUCAUAGAGUUUUACCCUUGUAAUGUUCAAGGAUUGAAGGAGAAGCGCAACUCGAGAUGGAGAUGGAAGAUUGUUAGCAAUCUGGCCAUAGUUGAUCCCAACGCCAAGGCUGUGUAUUUGAACAACUGAGAGAGAGAGAAGCAAGAAAAGCAGUCUAAAAAGGACAAAGCAGCUGGCCAUGACUGAUCUGAUCUUUGGUUAAACCAAGACCACCACCUUGCCUUACCUUGCUUCCACCACGAACCGCCCCACGAGCUGAAUCCCAACCAAACGCACCUCUUGCCAACUAACUAAUGCACACCUAGUUCUUGUAUUUAUAUAAUGUUGUCUCAAACUCGAAGGGGCAGCUUUGCUUCCCUGUAUGAGAACUCAUUUUUAUUGCUGACGAGGAUCCACUGUGCACUCUGAUCUUUCUCUUGCUGAAAUAGUUGAAUUUUUAUCAGAUUUUUUUUUUGUCUCCACUCGUUUGCUUGCACGUUUGGGAUUUGGUGUGUACCAGUCUCUUUCU
rnacentral:misc_RNA from 1 species